rnacentral:rRNA from 1 species
AGUAACACGUGGGUAACCUGCCUUAUAGUGGGGGAUAGCCUUUCGAAAGGAAGAUUAAUACCGCAUAAGAUUGUAGUAUCGCAUGAUAUAGCAAUUAAAGGAGCAAUCCGCUAUAAGAUGGACCCGCGUCGCAUUAGCUAGUUGGUGAGGUAAUGGCUCACCAAGGCGACGAUGCGUAGCCGACCUGAGAGGGUGAACGGCCACUGGGACUGAGACACGGCCCAGACUCCUACGGGAGGCAGCAUG